AAGGGUAUAGCUCAGUGGUACAGCAUGUUCUUAGCAAGCAUGAGGUCCUGGGUUCAAUCCCUAGUACCUCCC
rnacentral:tRNA from 1 species